rnacentral:lncRNA from 1 species
UGCAUCAAGCGGAAAGUUGAUCGCACAAUGCGAAGAAACGGGGACAUAAACAAUAAAGGAAAUUUUGCACCUUAUUUUGUCCAAAACUACUUUAUCAAAAGAAAAUAAGUACAAGAAAAACAAGAAUCCAGUCAGUGUAAAGGAGGCACACAAGUCCAGUCAGUGUAAACGAGGCACACAAGUCAUGAGGUUAUAUCCCACAAGUCCACUUCCUCCGCCCCAACCGAGGGUGUCGAGAAAUGCAGAAU